UAUAUUAUAGUAGAAGUAAUAUUUAACCAAAAUUAUCUAUUACACAGAUAAGCCUUCCCAGAACCAGCUGACACUCAAAUGAUAACAAAUCAGGACUUUCAGUUAACAGACGAACAACUGAAUAAAUAGAUGAAUAUCUUUUUAUGAUAAACAGAUCUGUCAAGCAAUAAUUUGGAGAAAGGUCAUGGGGAAACACUGGGUUCAUUUUCUGCAACAUGCAGGUUUCCCUUUAUACUUGAACAUAAAUUGACACUCGCUGACACCACUUCCAUUUCAGAGGAAGAGAAAGGGAAAUCUCCUUUCUCUGAAGCAACAACUGGACUCUUACCAUGGAUAGUGGGGAAGAGGCUGGUACACAGAUUGUGAUAAAGGUUCUUAUCUUGGCUCAUUUCAAACACCUUCUCCCACUCUUUCACGGUCAUUUGGUUUUUGAUGCUUUCUGCAGUCUGUUCUUCAUCUCGGAGCUCUUUU